rnacentral:lncRNA from 1 species
UGAAAAAUUAACAAAUAGCCAUGCUGUUCCCAAGCUUCACAUGCAUGCAUAAGGAGAUGCAAACAUGGACACACGCAAGCUGCAGCAGUCAGCAGUGCUUAGCAGACAGAUGCCAGGAGGGAAGACAGGUGCUGCCCUGCCAGAGCAGAGGAAACAUCAGUGACCCACAGCCAUGGGAUGUGCAGAUGCUGGGAAAACAGGGAAAGGACUGCCAGCAGAGCAGUGCUCCACAGCAGAAUGCUCCUUCCGAAGGAUGUAGUGUCAAAAACCUGCAGGCAGAUGAAGCCACACCUGAUGGUAUAGGUUGGCAAUUCCUGCAGCCCAGUAGAGGAGGAGGUCACCUUUCAGCUGUGAACACACUGCCUGCUGCCCUGUUAUGUAAGACAGCACACAGCGAU